GACGAACGCUGGCGGCGUGCUUAACACAUGCCAGUCGAACGGAAAGGCCUGCUUUCCCUUGUGGAUUGCGGGUGCUCGAGUGGCGAACGGGUGAGUAACACGUGAGUGAUCUGCCCCCAACUUGGGUAUAAGCCUGGGAAACUGGGUCUAAUUCCCGAUAGGACUGCAGGGUGGUGCCUGUGGUGGAAAACGAUUUUCUAGUGGUUGGGGAUGAGCUCGCGGCCUAUCAGCUUGUUGGUGGGGUAAUGGCCUACCAAGGCGGCGACGGGUAGCCGGCCUGAGAGGGUGGACGGGCACAGUGGGACUGAGAUACGGCCCAGACGCCUACGGGAGGCAGCAGUGGGGAAUAUUGCACAAUGGGCGGAAGCCUGAUGCAGCGACGCCGCGUGGGGGAUGACGGCCUUCGGGUUGUAAACUCCUUUCGACCGCGAGGAAGCCACCUGGUUGGAAGGGUGGUGACGGUAGUGGUAGAAGAAGCACCGGCUAACUACGUG
rnacentral:rRNA from 1 species